rnacentral:misc_RNA from 1 species
GAUAAGAACGUAGCGAAAUGCGAUAAGUAAUGUGAAUUGCAGAAUUCAGUGAAUCAUCGAGUCUUUGAACGCACAUUGCGCCCCCUGGUAUUCCGGGGGGCAUGCCUGUCCGAGCGUCAUUGCUGCCCUCAAGCACGGCUUGUGUGUUGGGCCCCCGUCCCCGGUUCUCCCCGGGGACGGGCCCGAAAGGCAGCGGCGGCACCGCGUCCGAUCCUCGAGCGUAUGGGGCUUUGUCACCCGCUCUGUAGGCCCGGCCGGCGCCAGCCGACACCCCAACUUUAUUUUCUAAGGUUGACCUCGGAUCAGGUAGGGAUACCCGCUGAACUUAAGCAUAUCAAUAAGCGGAGGA